CUGUGAUUUAUUACAGAGCUCCGUCAAAAGGAGAAAGAAAUUAGAUAACAAGUGCAUGCAUGUGUGAGUGCUUGUGGGACUAAAUUCAUGUGAAAUACUGGACCUGAUUGCUGGGCUCAUAAAAAGCAAGGGGAGAAAAUGGGAAGAACCAGACUAAGAAACCUCUUGGGAUGAGUUAAACAUGGGAAAAUUGCUCACUGGUUACUAUCACAGACAGAACAAACUCAAACUUAACUAUCUUAAGGCUGUUUUAUUCCUUUGCUCCAAACUACCAGCUUCCCACACCAAGUGGUGCAGCAGCAGCGUACUGUGUACAAGGAGCUAGGAGGGGAUGUAACCAGGACAGCUGGCCCAAACUGGUCAAAGAGAUAUCCAAUACCGCACGGCAUUGUGUUCAGCAAUAAAAGCUGGGACAAGGAAAGAGGAAGGGAUGAACUGUUGGAGUUGAUGGCAUUUGUCUUCACAGGUAACCCUUAGUGCUAUGGACAGUGGGAUUGAGUGCACCCUCAGCAAGUUUGUGAAUGACACCAAGCUGUGUGGUGUUGUCAACAUGCCUGAGGGACAGAAUGCCAUCCAGAGAGAUCCAGACAGGCUUGAGCGGUGGGCCCAAGUAAGCCUCAUGAGAUUCAACAAAUCCGAAUGCAAGGUCUUGCACCUGGAUUGUGGCGACAUCCACUACCGUACAAGGUGAGAGAUAAAAGGAGCACAGUCCUGCCAAAAAAGACCUGGGGGGAGUGGGGGUAUUGGUGGAUGGGAAGCUGGAUAUGAACCAGCAAUGUGCCUGUGCCCAAUAAGAGUGGUGAGGCUUUGGAACAGAUUGCCCAGAGAGGUGGUGGAUGCCCCAUUCUUGGAGACAUUCAGGGUCAGGCUGGGUGGGGCCCUGAGCAGCCAGAUCUAGCUGAAAGUGUCCUUUUUCAUUCCGGAGCAGUUGGAUGAGAUGAUCUCUUCCAACUGAAGUGAUUCAGUGAUUCUAUAAUAAUACUUCAAUCUACAUGCUAGCUGCAGCUACCAUCAAAAGUGUCAACUACUGUCCCAGCAUGCCAUCUCAGCACUUCAAUGCACACGUUUCUGAUAACAAAGACUGUCUGAUGUUCUUCAGAUCUUCUACCACUUAGCAGGUACAGUUCUCCUCUCCACGUUUUCUAUUUCUCUUUCAAAGGAGUGAUCAGUGAACAUGCAAAAAAAUGUUGCUAAGGAAUGAAAGGAGCAAGAAGACUGAAUUAACUUAUACAAGAGUUCAUGCUGAAACACCUUUGGUUUUUAUCUUUUCUUGUGGUGCUCUUCAGAGAAUCCCAAAAUCCCUGUGUGUGGGAGCUGGGAACUCCUACGUACCAUAUGGCGAUGAUAUAGAAAAGCUCAAAGCAAUUUAUGCAAUAUUAUGUAUGUAUUAUCUUGCUGUUGUUAACUCCAAGAUCCAAUAUUCUGCUAAGAUUAUAGACCUCUAAGGACUGCUCUUUUAGUGGUCUUCUUAACAUAGGACUGCUAAGAUUUUAGUCCUCUCUACCAUUCUUCCAGAACUAUGGGAAGAUUUUUUGUGAGCUUGUUUGAAAAUUUGAAAUGUAGAGCUGAGGCUUUUCAAAUCAUGUUUGGCAGCAGAUUUAUACUUUGUUGUCAAGAUUGUUUCUAAUGUUUCCUGAUUAACAUCUGAAUGACCUUUACGUAUUGGACUCAGUUUGCAUCUGUUAGCCCUUAGAUUUCCUUUUCAGUCUUUGACAUGAGACAUUGAAUGUAUUGGUUUGUUUAUCUGAGGCUUUUAUUAUUAUUAUUAUUAUUUUUAUUAUUAUUAUUUUGGGUGGUUGGUUUUGUUUCUGUUUUUUUAUUAUUAUUAUUAUUAUUAUUUUUCCUGCAUUGUUUGAUUUGUUUUUGAGAAGGAAACAUAGACAUUUCUAACACCAACCUAUUUUGAUAGGAGUUUAAAUAAUCAAAUUAGUUUUAAAAGUGGAGAUCUAAGGUACAACACAUAUUAAAUGAUAUAAGUGCAGCUAAGACAGAGAUAGAGCCCCAGUAUACUAGUUGGAUGGCUGUUUUACUUACCUGUUCAUCCUAAAAAAUGAUUUCUGAUUUUAUCUAUACUUGAAAUCUCUGAACCUAUGUUUGUACUCCAAUAAGAAAAAAUUGAAUGAUUAACAACUUGAAAUGCAUCUUCUCCUAACCAGUUUUGAUCAUGAACACUGGUGUGUUUCAGAAGGCAGCAGUACUCUGGCCUUUGUGAUCAACUGCUCAUCUAGGAACCAUACAGCUAAGCUGCUUCUGUGAUUAACUCUACAGAAACGCUUUCUUUUUUUAGUAUUUGGUCUUUUGGUAGCACAAGAAGUGAUCAAAUCUCAGUGAAAAGUGUGCCAGAACUGAUAUGUAUUCUGUAAGAACCUUGGUGACAAAUCUGGGUCACAGCCCUUGUUCUUCAUAACGCCUAAAGGAAUGAGCAGAAAGAGUUCACAGAGGUGGACACAGAGUCCACAAUCUCAGGAAACUAUGGAAAAGACUUGUUGUGUGAAGUAUUAACUAUUCUCUAAACAAUUCUAUCACAGCAAACAUUUUCAGAAGUUUUCAAAAGCAGUGUGUGAGGUAACUGUAUACCAGGCUGAUGCUUAGGAUAGAGCAUGACUUCUUAAAAAAUCUUUUUUUGUCUAAAAUGUGAAACAGAUAUCCAGUUGAAUUUUUUUGUUAAUAAAUUACUAUUUCAAAAUAUUGGGGAGCAGGCCAGCUUACCUUACCUUCAGGUAAUUCUGAUACUGUGAGAACCAAAUAUGUUUUUAAUGUAGGGCUUUUUUUUAAAAUUUAUCUUUUAUCUUUUUUAAGUCCUAAACAGAAUAUUUUUCUUUUCUUUUGUUUCUUUCACCAGAACUAACUCUAAUUUUCAAGGUAUCAUUAUUGAAUAAAAGUAAAUACCAGUUAUUUGUAUAUCUGUUGUUAUAUAAAAUAACAGUUAUUUUUACAAGUUGGCUGUACUUGUAAAAUAGAAUGUUGUGGUCAUGAUGGUCUAAAACUAAAACAGCAGUAAUUAAGGGAGGUAAUAUCUUUUAUUUGACAUACUGCUGCAGCUUGCAAAAAUAAAUUAUCUUUCUUUUAUAUGUUAACUUUACUAGUGAAAGAAGUCGUAAUCUUCAAUCUAUGUCUUAAGGAAGAGAAUAUCCCAUAAAAAGCUAUGUCUGAUGAUACUUUCAAGGUAAUAAGAUGCUCUUAAGAAGAUAAAUCAGUUUUCUUUCUUUCAUUUGUAUUUUGAUCCAGUGUAGGCCUUGUUUCCCUCUUGUAGUAGGCAACUUGCAAAAAGACGAAAAUGUUUGUAAUAGGAAUUAAAUGUGAGGUUUCUGAAUGCAGAAAAACUGUGGUGGCAAUCUGUGCUGCUACUAUGCAGUAGAGCUCUGUAAAAUGGGAAACAAACUAAAGAAUGUGAUGCUACAGGUAAACACUGAUAAGUCUAAAUGGUAAAUAGCUUUUUGUUUAUUUGACUUUGGGGAUCUCUUUCCCAGUGUGUUUAAACGAUAAAAGUUUAUAUCAAAGGAAAAUAACUGCUAUCUAUAUGCUACAAGAGUAUUUCUAUUCCUGGGCUCUUGUACAAACGUGUAGAACUGCACCAUCUUGUCAAGAAGAUCCAUCUCUUAAACUAGCAAAUUAAAAAUCUGCUCAGCAAGGAUUUUUGGAUCAUUUGGCCUACUUUUCUGAUUUUACUGUCAGCAGGCUUUGUUUUUCCAGUCUUGUGCUGCAAAGACUAGUUAUCGGAUAAAAUCAGCUUCAUAUCCUGAAGCAUUUUCUGCAAAUACAAGAAAUCACACUUCAGGUGGUAUCUGCAGAUCUGGUCCUUUGAUUUAUUAUUCUUCCUGCGCUUUACACAGGAAAAUACUGAAAGCGUGUGGAAAUGUUCUCUGAUGCAUAUGUUUACAAUUAUAUGUGGUUUAUGAACCCUAAAAAGUGCUCCGUUUUGACUGUCAAUGUCAUAUAUGCAAUCUGUAUAUUCCUCAUGUUCGGUAAAGGGCCCAAUUUAAUAAGUUAUCAUGCAGAAAAGCAGAUGAAGUGCAGCCAAGUCUGUCCAUGUAGAUUCAGUUAAAUGCUUUUUUUGACCUCAAUUACGCAUUAAAAAAAAAAAAAAAAAAGCCUGUACAGGUGACAAGAGUAGAAAUCAGCUCCCUAGAGUCCUAUUCCAGUUCUUUCCCAAGCAGACAUACCUUCUCUCCUCCUUCCUGUAUGCUCUCUAGAAGUCUCGGACUCCUACAUUAAAUGAAAGGGGGAGCUCCAUGAGGCAGACAGUAUCUGUAAUGUAGCAGUAAAGACUCAGCAGUCUUUUUCAUAUGUAUGAAAUAGUUAUAUUUUUAAAAGUCCUAUAAUUCAAAUUAAGACAAAAUGUUACGGAGCUUCUCCCUCCCUCGGGCCUCUAAUAAAAUUUUUUUGAGGCUGUUCUGAGCACCUGGCAAUUAAAGGGGGGGAAAUCUUAAAUUUUUUAAUUAUUCCACUCUCUCCUGUCAGGGUGAAGAAAGGACUUCAGAAAAAUACAGUUGUUCUUUAUCAUUAUUUUCAAUCAGGGCUGAAAGAAAAUAUAUUCACUUCUAUUUAUAAUUUAUACAAACAGGGAAAAAUGAUGCUGUCAACCUCAAGUGAAGGUUUUGUUUUUAUCUGAGUGACUUGAUUAUUUCUGAGACAUAAAUAAUUUCCUCAUAUUGCAUGUAUAAAAUGUAUAUGCAUAUUUACAUUCAUACGCAUGUAAGGUUUCUUCUGGCCAAUAUUUUCCUUUUCUUUUAUUUAGUAGAACAGGUUAUUGCUUUAUUGAAAAGAUACCAUUGCAAAACAUUUCUUUGAAUUAUGAGCAACUUUUUGAUUCAUACAGAUUUGACUUUGCCAUUUGGAGACAUAGGACAAACCAUGUACAACCAUUUGGCACAGGUUUCUGACUAAGAUUUCUACGACAACAGAAGUAGCUAUGGACAAAGUGAGACUGCUUCUACCAAAAGUCAGUCUGUCUCUGGGGGAGCUGCAGUUCUGCCCAGGUCACACCAUACAUGUAAUGAUAAGUCAAAAAGACAAAAUUGUCUGAGGAGAGAAUAAAUGAUUUGUCUAAUUCAUCAAACACUUAGAACAACAGAUUGAUAGAAAACAUAAUUACUUUUCACUUGAUCUAAAAACAGUUCAGAUUGCAUUGACCACCAGAUAAAAUUAAUUUACAACUAAUAAUUUACUGUGUUCCAAGUCUCAUCUGGUUUGUUGCUUUCAUGAAUUUUCUAUGUUUCUGCCUGUUCUCUGCUCAGCUGCUGUUGUUUAAGUACCCUGAGGAUGGAGAGGCUUGGAUUGGUGCCUGGUGGCCUGGGCUAAUUCUGCUUUUUCAAAGCCAGACACACACUUCAGCUAUCAUCUUUACUCCCCGUGCCUUAAACAGGAAAGCAAACAUUAGCAAUAGAAUUGCCAUUAUCUGUCUAUUUAUUUGUUUCCUUUAAGAUUUGAGAGACGUAAUUUUUAAAGAGGGGUAAAAGAGGAAGUAUGAUUUCCUUUUUAUCCCAGUCUGUGCAGAGCUAGCAAUCUGCCAGCUCAGGUGCAACUGACAGAACAUCCAUAAAGGGAGAGUACCUGUUAAACACUUAUAAAACUUAGUGUUGAUAUAUCUCAUGUCUGUUUUGCAGAUUUGAGAAUUUUAGCUUGUGAUAGUUGGCAGGGUAUUAUUACAUGUGCUGAUACAGCAAGUUGUUUAAUUGCUUUACAGGGGCUCUGCUAAUAAUAUUUUCAAAGGUACAGUGUCACAAGCAACCUCGUCUAAGUGUUUUUCCCCAUAUUUCAGCUGUUCCAGUGAACUGAUACGUUUUGGGGUUUCAUAUUUUUCCCAGUGAUUCUUCCAGGACUUUGAAAAACAUGGAACAAAUUAGGGAGACAAAUGUAGAAAAUUAUGAGAGCCCAAAUUAGCAUUCAUUUUGUAGGAUAUGUCUUGAAGAUAGUUGUUUUCCACACAAAUCCUGCACUGUACAUAGAAUCUUUUCAGCAAGGAUCCUAUAAAAAUUCACAUGCAUUGUUUCUAAUAAUGAUAACAAAUGCUAAUGAUGCUAUGAAUUUUUUGUUAAUUCAACAUUAUUCUGACAUACUCAUAAACUACACUGGCUUACGCUAUGAAACCUGUGAUAAUAACUGAAAUACAUUAAUAGAAAUCAAGAUACACUAAUUACCAUUACCUAAAGUAGAAUGUGGCCUUACUGAGGCCUUUAGUCUUCAAUCUCUGCUGCCUGUGACUGCAUGAAUACUAAUGUAAAGGGAAAAUCAAGCUCUUACACACCUGGAGGUGUUUCAGAACAAAACAUUUCUUGUCUGAAUUGCUAGGCUCUUGCAGAGAAGAGUAUGUUAGCUAUAGUAACAUACCAAUACAAAGUGCUUAUAAUUGUAUUCAGCUGCAAUAGCAGUUCACCCUUCCUUGUAAAUCAUUCCAGUCAGUUAUGAAAAUUAAUAUUUGAUGCAAAAUUUCAAAGUAUUCAUAUUUCUCUGGUAAUUACUAUUUAUUGAAGCAUCACACAAUGUCAUCACUUGUUCCUUCUGAAUGAGCAGAGGAGUGCCUGCUGAUGCUUUUUCUUGUCUCCUGCCUUUGUCAGUAGUCUGGAACUAAGCUGUCCCAUGGACCACAUUAUAAUGCUGUUAUCAGUACUGGGCAUCCAGCAGUUAUCUCUGUAGCUUUGUGAUGUAUUGCAUAGCCUGGCAGGCUGUCCAAGCCUUGCUGUUCUGCGUCCCAUUGCUGCUCGGUGCAAUGUAAUUUACAACUUUUGUAAUAAAGUUUAAUACAUUCCUUGACAUUAGGUUCGCUAUUGUGUCACUGGCAUUUUUGUUCUAGUCUUCAGAAGCAACGCAUGUCUUUCAGCACCUUGACACUUACAAGUUGCUUUUAUGUUACUUUUGUUGCUCAGGACUCUGCUAAGUAAGGGUUCACUUCAAGCCUUUCAAGUCUCUAUAACCUGACAGUCAAUUCUUCUUUUUUUUUUUUUUAAUUUGAGGAUUAUUUAAAAAUAUGUUGGGUUUUUUUUUGUAUCUACUAUCAAAUAUUACAUCAUUUUAGCUCAGUCUGCUCACUGUCUCUUAUCUAAUUCUAUAAUGUAUUGUUUUUGUAGAUCACUUUGCCUUUCCCUCCUUUUAUUUUCACAAUAAAUACCAAAAUAUAACUGGAAAAUAUUUUUAGCCAGUAAGAUUCAAGAUGUAGUGUAAAAUUCAGAUGUUUUUAAUAUAUUACACAAUUUACUUUGUUUUAUGUUCUUUUUUUGAUGAUAGAAGCUUGUUCCACUGUCUACCACUUCACUGGCAUUUUUUUUCUCCAUGAUUUUCGAUGAAUUUUAGACUUCUAUCACUUCGUACUGAGAACUUUUAUUUUUUUUUUUUUUAUUUUUUUAAUUUUUAUUUUAUUUUUUGUCUAUGUCAAGCACUGUGUAAACAUUUACAUGAUUUAUAGAAACUAACAUGCUUAUCUUCAGACAGCCUUUUGAGUAUAAUGCUUUCAUUUAUUCGAAAUAUUUAUUUCAAGAAGAGACUUAUGAACUGGAGGCAAGGUUCAGCGGUAAAGAUACGAAAAUCAGAUUUUCUUUUUUCCUUUUUUGAUCUUUUGACAUGAGAAGACUCUAAGUAUCCCUGCUGGCAUUCUGGUUGACAACAAAAUUAUAGAGGCAGUUCAGGAACACAACACAUCUUGACCUUGCUUGGAAACUGUCCAAUGCUUUUUUGUGAGUUUUUGUACUUUCAUUAAAAGCUAAAGGCUGAUUCAAAUUAAAUUCCAAAUGAGAUGUCAAAUACAUGAACAGAAAUGAUAAUAAGAACAAAUGAAGUAUAUUAUUAUCAUGGACUUUACUACCUGGAGAAUACUGAGCAAAGAAAAAUCAUAAUGACCUUUUAGCGAUAGCUAUUUGUGACUCAAAACAAAUGAGUAUUUUAUUCUGUAAUCACAUUGAUGUGCCUGCAAGUUAUUUCCAAUUAACUUCAUAGUGGAAGUGUUGUUAUUGGUAUUGCAUAUGAUAACCUGUAUUUUUGAAGUGUAAACAUUUUUAGUGUGUCUGAAUGGAAACCAAAAUAAAAAUUUACAACAUAGGUAUUUAGCAUGUGUAAUUAUUUUCUAAGUAAGUGGCAAUAGAACACAUUAUAGUUGUCUGAGGUGAUAGAAAACUUCCUGUUUGACACAUUUUAAAAGAAAAGAACUGCAUGGUGAAAUCUAGAGAAGUAAUUUCCCCACUGCUAUGUAUCUACUAAUCAGAAAAUCCAUGGAAAUGGCACAAGGUUUUGUUGGUUAGCCUUGUGUAUUUUUGCUUUCCUGGUGCAAAACAGUAGUUAGACAAGCAAAGCACAUUCCUUUUUCUUUCCAAACUGGUUUACCUCUAAAGGAGAGAAAGGUUAUUCAGAGAUACAAAGGUAAAGGUGUGCCUGCGUUCUCAGAAAUGCUGGUAAGAACAGAAUGGGAUCACUCAUUGAAGACUGGCAAUUUCAAAUGACCCUUGAAGGAUGGAUGACAUUUUAGAGGCAUCUGAAUUUCAUUUGGGCACAUAGUGGAAUAAGCUGGGGUCUUCUUUGAGUUGGUCUCUCUUCCUGGAUUUUGAAAAUGCUACACUUUAUAUAAUGUCUUUUAAUUUAAGCUUUUCAUCUGAUGUUCUAAAUUCUUGCAUUUGCAAACUGAUGCUGUUAAUAAAACUCAAAAAUGUUAUGUGAGAAGAACCACACCUUUAGGAAUACAUUUUAAAUAAUCUUCCAUUUCUCUCUUUCUUUUUCCACUACAUAUAAAACACUGUUUACCUCAGUGAUUAUGGUCCCCAUAAUCUCAUUUCUGUUAAAGUCAUGGAAAGUGAGAUAACUUAAAACUAGCAGACCAUUCAAAAUAAUGCUAAACUGAAUCUAACACAGAUACUCUGGAUGAAAGCUUAUUUUUUUUUUCUUUUAAAACAACUCAGUAAACAUCUACUGUGAAAAUCAACGUGACAGAAAAUUUUUUUUGGAUUAAAACUAUGAUACCAGUAAUCACUGAUAAUUAGCAGUAAGUAUUUCUUGCUCAGUCUUUAAAUUUUGCUUUGGUGUCAUUUAUGGUAAAGUGAUAAGAGAAGUGCAUAAGGUUCUG
rnacentral:lncRNA from 1 species